ACGCUUACAGGGGAGGGGAGAUACCAUGGUUGCAAAGGCGGUUUUCCCAGGGCGAGGCUUAUCCAUUGUACUCUGGAUUGGCUGAUCUCUUGUAUUUCCCCCAAUGUGGAACUAUAGCUGGUGAUAGAGGGGGAAACCACAGUGACGUAAUUAAGCCUCCA